AGUAAAUCUCCUACAAAUUGGCAAUAAAUUAGGGUUUACAUAUACUUUAAUUUUGUAAUUUUUAGUAAGAGGACUUAUUCUUCCAUAUUUUACAUGAACAUGCAAUGGUCAUAUUUGAGUGGAAGCCAGUUAGUUUACCAUUAUAUUUUUUGGAUUGCAUGGGAUAAAAGUGGAAUUCCUGCUAGUCUUAAAAAUGUUCCCUUCCCCCUCCUGCUAUCUAUGCUGCCUACCCUUUGUAAAAAUUGCAGGAGCGGUGACUUUACUCGUAGGCUCCCAUAGCACUGUCGUUCUUUCCUUUCCUCUGCAGCCGGCUGCUUACUGACACAGGGGAGCCAGAGCUGCGGGAUCACAUGACUGGACCGAAGCGUGUUGAAAAAAGGCCUACCCUGCCUAUCCUUUGUAAAAAAAAAAAAAAAAAAUAAGGAUCUGUAGACUUUCUUUUUUUUUUUUCUUUUUAAGUCCGUUCACGUAAUCCCGCAGCUCCGGCUUCCUUUGUCCGCUCCAGCUCCCCUGAGUGCUCAACUAUAGCAGAGAAUUCCAGGAGUGGUGACUUCACUCCAGGGCUCCCAUGGCCCUGCCCCUCCUUCCUCUCCCCUGCAGCUGGCCGGUCACUGACACAGGGGAGUCGGAGCUGUGGGAUCAUGUGACUGGACCUCAGCGGGCUGAAAAAGGUAAGUAUUCAGAUCUUUUUUACAUAGGAUAGGUCGCAGGAGGGGAGGAGACCUAUAAUAAAAUGGUUAUGGUUAGGCAAGAAUUUCACAUUAAGUCUACCUAUCUGCUGCUUUCUGUUAUUUCCUUCAGAACAAGUUGCCUCUGAAAACAAAUCGUGUUUUCUGCUUUGCAGUCGAGGCAUCUUCACCCCCUGUUUGACUGGCUCUCUCCAAAGCCUGGUUAGCUGUGCCAAUAACUGGCUUACCAAGCUUUUCCUGACCUCUUGCAGCUGUCAGAAAUGAUCCUGGGUAGACACCGCAUGCGUCUGUAGCUGGGUGUAGAACCUCAUUGAAAGGGAAUCUACCUUAUAUUUUCAGAAAGUAUUCAAGUUGAGCCAUAGAUGUAAAGUUUACGUGAAAGUAAUAAUUGAUAUGACUUUUUGGAUUUUAGUCACAUGCUGUGGCAUGCGUCCAUGUUUAUAUAGAUACAUAUGCAUAAAAGACAAAGCAGUCAGCAUUACUGCUGAAUUAUUGCUUUAAAAUGAACUUGUGCCUAGACUAUGCAUAUUUAAGUAAUUACAUAUUCUGAAAAAGCAGUAAAAACACUUUAAAACCUGUCCUGUUUCGCCUCAUACCGAGGCACUGAGAGCUUAUUUUGCCUUUAAUUUCUAUGGCACGCUCUCAACCUUUUAAUGUUAACACCCAGCAGGUGUCCCUAAGCCAGCCAUUCUCAAUUAGGAAUCUUUGGCGCCCUCAUGUUCCUUGAGCUGUGGCUGAUUGCCUUUUCAUUUAGAGAUGUUAAAGAUGCCUUCAUAGUUCCAGGGCCAACGCUACUUGGCAAAACAAACAACAUUACCCAAUUAUCUUUUAGGCUGUCUGUAAGGUUGGCAUUCUUAAUGACCACCAAUGUAGGGUAGGCUUUCUUGCCACUAACCACCAAUAUAAUGUAAGGUAGGCAUUCUUCCCAAUGACUGCUAAUGUAAGGUAGGAUUUCUUGCCACUGACCAUCAAUGCAAGGUAGGCUUUCUUGCCACUGUUUAUCAAUGUAAGGAAUGCCUUCUUACCACUGACCACAAAUGUAUGGUAGAAAUUCUUACCAACGAUCAUCAAGGUAAGGUUUUCUUAUCACUAGCCACCAGUGUAAGGUAGGCAAUCUUCCCAAUGACUGCCAAUGUAAGGUAGACUUUCUUACUACUGACGACCGAUGUAAGAUAGGCAUUCUUCUUAAUGACCGCCUAUGGAAGGUAGACUUUUUUGCCACUGACCAUCAAUGUAAGGUAUGCUUUCUCACCACUAACCACCAAUGUAUGGUAGGCAUUCUUCCCAACGACCAUCAAUAUAAGCUAGGCUUUCUUACCACUAACCUCCAAUGUAAGCUAUGCAAUCUUCCCAAUGACCAUCAAGGCAAGGUAGGCUUUCUUACCACUAACCUCCAAUGUAAGGUAUGGUUUCUUACCACUGACCUCCAAUGUAAGGUAGGCAUUCUUCCCAAAGACCAUCAAUGAAAUGUAGGCUUUCUUACCACUGGCCACCACUGUAAGGCAGACAUUCUUCCCAAUCACUAUCAAUGUAAGGUAGGCUUUCUUGCCAAUGACCACUGCCUGCCAGUGUAAGGUAGGCAUUCCUCCCACUGACCACCAAUGUAAGAGCCAUGUUUCUCAUUGACCCCGAUAUAUUGGUAUGAUAUAUAAGGGUUCCCUAUGGCCUGACAAUUGUUUUAGAGGUUCCUCUGGUUGUAAAAAAGGUAUAGAAAGGCUGUUCUAAGCUUUAUAAACCAGUUUAAACUGACUUUAUUGAUCUUUGACCAUGAAUAACUUCACAGUACAAACAACUAAAUAGGUUAGGGCUUGUUUUUAAAGCUGUUUUACUGCUUGUUAGGAAUAUAUAAAUGAUUUUAAUGCCUAUAGUCUGGGUACAGGUGCACUUUAAAAUCGGUUACGCUAGAAGUCACCCAAGGAGUAUAUUGUUUUAUUGGAAGAUUGAAUUCUUUCCAUAGCACAAUGACUGUGCCGUGCUACUAAGGAAGCACUGUGUGUACAAUAUAUGUAAUGAGUAAAUGUGACUGCACCUAUGUACAUUCAUAUAUCUAUACAUAGAAACAACUUGAAACAUUCACACGAUAGGCACAAAGACACAUUUACAUGAAGCUGAUUUACAUUUACAAAUAGAGAUUUGGUAAAAAUCUAACGGUUUUAGUCAUGAUGACUUGACGGUUCCCAUUGUUGGGUUGAGCUCCAUUGUAGCACAACCAAUUCCAUUUUUAUAGCUUAUGACAAAAAAAAAAAAAAAAAAA